AUUGAACGCUGGCGGCAGGCUUAACACAUGCAAGUCGAGCGAGUGGCGCACGGGUGAGUAAUGUAUGGGGAUAUGCCCGAUAGUGGGGGAUAACCACUGGAAAAGGUGGCUAAUACCGCAUACUAUUGGCUGAACCCAUAUGGGAUUAGCUAGUGGGUGGGGUAAAGGCACACCGAGGCGACGAUCUCUAGCUGGUCUGAGAGGAUGAUCAGCCACACUAGGACGGAGACGCGGCCCAGACUCCUACGGGAGGGAGGAGUGGGGAAUGGUGCACAAUGGGCGCAAGGCUAAUGCAGCCAUGCCGAGUGUAGGAAGAAGGCCUUGGGGUUGUAAAGGACUUUCGGCGGGGAGGCGUUACCCGCAGAAGAAGCACCGGCUAACUCCGUGCCAGCAGCCGCGGUAAUAC
rnacentral:rRNA from 1 species